GCUCAGCGUGGCUUAGAGGCCUGAAUUCUGGGGACAGAGGCAGGCAGCCCCAUCCCCCCCCCUUCUGAGGAGAAAGGGCAGCCCAGGGCUGGCUGCCACUUUGGUAUGUGUGUGCUGGGGGCUGCACUGCUCUUCUUCAGGCUCUUUGUCUUUCUCUCCAUUCUGCAGGAUCCGUUCCCAGAGUCUCUGCCUCCACUCCAGUUGGGGUUUUCUUCGCCCGUUGGGUUCCUGGAUUGGAGCUCUUUCCACAUCACAAACCUUCCCAUUCAGAAGGUGCCAGCCUAUGCCUGC
rnacentral:lncRNA from 1 species